AGAGUUUGAUCCUGGCUCAGAACGUACGCUGGCGGCACGCCUUAUACAUGCAAGUCGAACGAAGUAGCAAUACUUAGUGGCAGACGGGUGAGUAACAUGUAGGUAUCUGCCCUUUGGCCUGGAAUAACACGAGGAAACUUGUGCUAAUACCGGAUAAGUCUUUACGGAGAAAGCUUUAUGCACCAUUGGAUGAGCCUGCACUUGAUUAGUUUGUUGGUGGGGUAAUGGCCUACCAAGACAAUUAUCAAUAGCUGAUUUGAGAGGAUGAUCAGCCACAUUGGAACUGAGACACGGUCCAAACUCCUACGGGAGGCAGCAGUAGGGAAUCUUGCACAAUGGAGGAAACUCUGAUGCAGCGAUGCCGCGUGAGUGAAGAAGGCCUUUGGGUUGUAAAGCUCUUUCGUCGGGGAAGAAAAUGACUGUACCCGAAUAAGAAGGUCCGGCUAACUUCGUGCCAGCAGCCGCGGUAAUACGAAGGGACCUAGCGUAGUUCGGAAUUACUGGGCUUAAAGAGUUCGUAGGUGGUUAAAAAAGUUGGUGGUGAAAUCCCAGAGCUUAACUCUGGAACUGCCAUCAAAACUUUUUAGCUAGAGUAUGAUAGAGGAAAGCAGAAUUUCUAGUGUAGAGGUGAAAUUCGUAGAUAUUAGAAAGAAUACCGAUUGCGAAGGCAGCUUUCUGGAUCAUUACUGACACUGAGGAGCGAAAGCAUGGGUAGCGAAGAGGAUUAGAUACCCUCGUAGUCCAUGCCGUAAACGAUGUGUGCUAGACGUUGGAAAUUUAUUUUUCAGUGUCGCAGCAAAAGCGUUAAGCACACCGCCUGGGGAGUACGACCGCAAGGUUAAAACUCAAAUGAAUUGACGGGGACCCGCACAAGUAGUGGAGCAUGUGGUUUAAUUCGAAGAUACGCGCAGAACCUUACCAACACUUGACAUGUUUGUCGCGACUCUAAGAGAUUAGAGUCUUCGGUUCGGCCGGACAAAACACAGGUGCUGCAUGGCUGUCGUCAGCUCGUGUCGUGAGAUGUUGGGUUAAGUCCCGCAACGAGCGCAACCCCUAUUUUUAGUUGCUACCAUUUAGUUGGGCACUCUAAAAAAACUGCCAGUGAUAAGCUGGAGGAAGGCGGGGAUGACGUCAAGUCCUCAUGGCCCUUACGUGUUGGGCUACACACGUGCUACAAUGGUACUUACAGUGAGAUGCGAAGAGGCGACUCUAAGCCAAUCCCUAAAAGGUACCUCAGUUCGGAUUGUACUCUGCAACUCGAGUACAUGAAGCUGGAAUUACUAGUAAUCGUGGAUCAGCGCGCCACGGUGAAUACGUUCCCGGGUCUUGUACACACCGCCCGUCACACCAUGGAAGUUGGUUACACCUUAAGGCAAAGCUUAAAACCUUUGACUACGGUACGAUCAGCGACUGGGGUGAAGUCGUAACAAGGUAACC
rnacentral:rRNA from 1 species